rnacentral:lncRNA from 1 species
UUCGAUGCUAGCUGCACGAUUUGCUUGCUGGAGAGCGAUUUCCCCAAUGAACAGCUCUCGUCUAAAAUCUGUGUUCCUACAGAGAGGAGAAGAGGAGAGGUUUUCUUCGUCUUGACAAGGUUGUAAUAUUUCUCAGUAGCUUUCCACCACGUGGCAACAGAGGGUUGGGCUGUUGUGGGUCUUCUAGAAGAGACAGAGGCAAUAAAAUCUGAGACAAUGGCACGCUGAGAUGGCUUGAACUUGCCAUACCAGAUCAAGUUGAUCGAAAUUUCACCGGUAAGAAGAGGGCCAUUGUGGUAUUGAAAUAACAAGGGAUCUUGGCUUUGAUCUGACACGGAGAAUGUCCUUGCUGCUGAGCUGAAUUGUAUAAUAGAGAUUAACAGAACAAGUUGAAGAAGAGAAUGUGAAGAAAGAAAGGAGGCCAUGAUUGAUCUGAUGAUCGGUAGUGAUGGAAGAGAGGAUUUUGUGAGUGGAGAGAAACGGAGGAGGAGAUUGGGUAUAUAUAUUCUCAGGGAAGGGUUGAAAUCUUAGGGAGGGAAGCUACGCGGAGAGUGGGUUGAGAAUUGAAAGUGGGCAAGUGGUGACAUGACAGGUAAAUAGCGCGUUGCUUCAUUGGUAACUUAAUGAGCGCGCGGCUACUCUCGUUUUCAACUGCAUCUAUUGUUAACAAACAUUACAGUGCUUGGCCAGCUAAGAGAGGACCAGGGACCGAAAGUGAAUGAGAUAGCUUUUUGUAGACAGCUCCGCUCAUGAAGCCGCGAAAAAACCUCGCAAGAAAAUUAGGAUUUCCAUUGCUUGGUUAAUAGGUUUGACUAGUGGUUGUUCUAAUCGCCUAAAAAAUAACUCUCUUGAUAUACAUAAAAUUAUCUGAUAUUUAAAUCAGUAAUAUGUAUGUUGAGAAAAACAAAUAUAAAAUUAAAAAAAGUUAGGGAGUGGGCAUCUAACUUAAAUGGACUAGCCUGGUUUUGCGUGGCUUUCGUUUUGCAUGGCUUUAAUGAUCUUCGACCUGCUUUAGCUGGGAUUGUCUUGCUAGAAAUUACUCAUUAGCUUCUAGACCUAGUUGUGUGUUGUAGUUUCCUUGCGUGGUGUUGUGGUAUUUGGGUGUAUUUAUACAUCUAGGCCUUGAAAAGUUUUCAUGGAGAAGAUAUUAUGUCAUCGGUGAAGAAAUUGAUGCUUAAGCUAGUCAUCCAUUAGAAAGGAAAAAAAAAAAGGUGUAAGUCAUAUUUAUUUAUCUUUUACUUUUAAGGGAAUGAUUGUCUUUUUAUUUUAGAAUUCCAUUGCCAUUAACAGCUAUGUCUCAAUUUAUUGGCUGUAAAUUUUAAGAUUUAUUUUUUUUGUAUAAAUAACAUCUUUAUAUUUAUCGGUUAACAUAAUUAUUGAUGUGAAUCCCACGAAUAUAAAGCUAUGAAAACCAACAUUUAAAUUGACUAUUCUAAAGAAAGUUAUGAUCAUGUUUGGAAUUGAGCUUGACACAACGAUAACUUGUGCUGAGACACCAAAACUAUAAGUAAUCGAACUCUCACUCAUCGCCUAUAAAGAGACGCGAACGAGAGUAUAGAAGACAGUAUAAAGCUUGAUUAAUUCUUUGAUAAGUCAUAGCAGUUCAAUGAAGAACUAAAAGGUAUGAGCAAAACCUCUCACACACACAAUAAUAAUUACUGAAAUUAAAGUCUGUCCCCCAAAAAAACCCUAAAUAUAAGCUAAAUAACCCUAUUUAUAAUAUGUAAAAACUUUAUUAACAAUGCUGAAAAAAUAAUAAAAGAGUUCUAAAUAAAAUAAGAAAAAAAAUCCUGAAUCAACUAGGAAAUUAAUAUAAUUUUUGCGUAGUAGCUUCUAGACCUUAUCGCAAAGCCUUUCUGGUCUCCGAUUGCUUUAGUAUUUUAAGUAAAAAUAGAAAAAAACCUCUGAAAACUCCAGGUAAAAUUUCAGCCUAAUGCAUUGUUACCAAUUAUGGUUUAAAAAUUAUAAUUGUUAGAGUAAAACUGUGUAUUAGUAAAAACAAACCCCAAACCGCCUCUAAUGCCAAAAUUAAUUAGCCCAUCAUUGUGAAAUAAUGAGGCCCAUGUUGUAAAUGGAUCGAACUCCUCAUGCACAUAUAUUAGAUUGACUAAGAUCUAAUCAUCACUUGUUGAAGUUGUAACUUUCUUGAAAUUUACUUUGGAUCAAUUACUCUAAAUAAGCUCAUUAAAUGCAUCUUUAAGCUUCUUUACCCUUGAUCUUAUCAUUGGCCCGAUUGGAACUUCUAAUAGAUUCUUUGGUGUAGUCUGGAUUGUAUCAAUCAUGAUAUAGUGAAACACACUCACAAUAAUGUUCCAUUUUUCUACUAUAUUAAAAAUUAACUUGAGAUCAUACAUGUUUUUAUUAAUGCACAUGAUCCUUGUUUUAUUUUAUUAAAUAUAAGCAUUGGAUUUUCAAUUUAUAGUUAUAUUUUUUACUCGAUGUCAAAAAACACGUUAACAACACCUACUUAUUCAUUCUUUUGCAUUAGAUUUUUUUUUGUUUCAUAUUUAUUGACAUAAAUGAUUCGAUUUAUUUAAUUAAAUGCUUGUAUAUGCUUUUUUUAUUUAUUUAUGAUUAGGAUUUUUUUUAGUUAAAAGAAAUGUUGAAAAGGUUGCAUAUAUAUUUUUUUUGUCAAAAAACAUUAUUCAAUCCAUGACGAAGCGCAAGUCAAAUAGCUAGUUUAGCCUAUUUGGUGUGUCGCACGUGUGCGGCGUCACGGCGGGUAUUCCACUUUAUCAGGAAAUGUAUAAUAUCUAUCUGGCAAAUAUUGAGAGACAAGAAAUUCUUGUCUUUUAUCAGUGAAAAAUGGAAUGGGAGUCGCCACCUAGUAUUUUGGUCACUAGGAACCCUAACUGGUCUCAGAGAUCGGGUACGGGGAUUGGUUCCGUAAAGGGAAGGUAUUAGCACCCCAAAUAUAUCUUACCUAAGGUAAGAUGCAUUGUUUGAUUGUUUGAUAAAAAGCUAAGGUGUUAUUUAACUAUUGGUCUGUCUAGAGUUCAAGAAAAGUCCUCCUCAAUAAGGAGGUCCUUAUCUUAUCGGGUAAAAUUCUAACCGUUCUAACGUCUAUACAAAAAAACUAUAAUUUUAACAUCAGGAAUACGUUUUACAUAAAAAUUCGUAAUCCCAGAUACUAAAAAAAACAAAAAGAUUCUUUUAGAAUUUUUGAAAUAUUGGCCUAGUUCUCGUGGUUCUAACAAACUUGUUGUUAAAGCCAAAGUGCAUGCUAAUACAUAUAUUUUUUAAAUUUCUUUUGUUGUAUGAAAAUAUGAUGUGAUAAUUUUUUCUUUAUUUUGGAGAGACUAGGCCGUAUGCAUUAAAACAAAAACACUUUUUUUUAUUUUAUAUUUUUAUAUUUUUUUUGGAUGUCUUGAUGAAAAUCGGGUAUUUUAAUACUGGAUUUAUAUCUUUACGGUAUAAAAAUACAAACCAAUAUUAAGCAAUUGUGAUAAAAAUAUGCAGGAAAAUCAACAAUAUUUUUUAGGAUUUUUCAGAAUUUUUUAAAAUUUUUUUGGAUAUAUAUCUAUAUAUAUAAAUAAUAUAAAAACAUUAUAAUAAAUAAUACAUAAUAUUAGGUGAGCUAGGCUGGGCCGGCCCAACUAACUGGGCCGGCCUCAGCCCCAAAAGGGUUGGGCCGAUCUCGGCCCAACAAAAUCUCCUAUCUUUGUCUGGGCCAAACCCGGCCCAGACAGUAGGGCUGAGCCAGAAUCAGUCUGGCCCACAAACACAUUAGAACUGGGCCAGAAGCGGCCUGGCCCAGUUAAAGAAAACCAUCAGUGCUGGGCCAGAACCAGCCUGGCCCAGCACUGGAAAACCAACGGGGGGGAAUUAUUUUCCCCCUCCCAUCCUCCUACAUGCAGCACGAAUGUUCUGCAUGCAGGAGGAAAAGCGGGCAAAUAAAAGAGAUAAAAGGGGGGCAGAAGAGUGUACCUGGAGCGGUGGAGGCGGUGGCGGUGUCGCGGCUGACAGACGGCGACUGACUGCUUCGCUGGCGGUGCUGCGGGGGGAGGCCGGUGGCGAUGUCAUGGCUCACGGACGGCGACUCCCAAGCGACGGUGCUACUGUUUCAGGUGGAAGAAAAAAAAAAGCUUCUGCUCUUCCCUUCUCCUCCUUUUCCUCCUCCUCUUCUGCUACGUUUCCUUUCCCUUUUGUUCCGUUUAGAUAUGGCUUUUCAAAACCCGAACGCUUCCGGUGUCAGUGUCGUUUUUUCCUUAACUCUCACGGUCCCCUUUCCUUUACUUCUCACUGUCCCUCUCGGUAUGUUUUCCCAGUUUUCUUUCCCCUCUUUUUUGGUCUGUUCUCUCCUCUCCUCUCUUCGGUUCCUUCCCUUUUCUUUUCUAUUUUCUCUUUUCCUCCCCCUUUCCCCCCUUUUCGCGUGCUGGCGUUGGGAGGUAUUUAUAGGGCAAAAGGGAGCGGGGGCGUCCCUAUUGCCACCCUAUGGCAGCGCAUAGGGAGCAGGGCUGGCUGCCCUGCCACAGCGCCGGGUUGGCUGGGCUGUGGGCGUGGCUGGCAGGGCGCGACUCCCUUGGUGUAUCAUCAUGAGAGUGUGUGGGGUUUCGGGAAGUGGCAGGCAUGUGGCGUGUAGGGUUCAUUGAAGAAAGAAGAAAAAACUGCCUUCCCCUGCUGCACGUCUAGGGGAAAGAGAAAGGGGAACAAUGUCGUUUUGAACGACACUGUUUUUUUUAUAAAAAAAACAUGAAACGACGCCGUUUCAUUUAAAGGUGGCACCAGCAUUUGUUUCCCAAAUCAGUCCUUAAUUUAUCCUUUGUUCUUUUAAGUCCUCACAAUGUAAUUUUGAUUUUAAGAAUUAAUUCAAUUGCAUCCCUGCCAAUUUCAGUCUCCGCCCCUAUAAUUGGCCGCGCUUUUCACUUCAGUCCUUAGUCUCUGAUUUAUGUAAUUGGACCCUCAAUUGAUCAAUAAACUUUCAAUUUCUUCAAUUUAGUCCCUGAUUUUGUUAAUUACAGCCCCUAUAUUUACGCGCCUUUUCCAAUUUGGUCCUUGAUUUCGUAUUUCCUCAAUUAAGUCCCUAAUUGACCAUUAAACUUCAAUAUUUAUACAAUUAAGCCCCUGAUUUGACCAAAUCAACUCUUAAAAAUUAUAAUUUGACCCCAGAACUUUAAUUUCUUCCAAUUAAAGCUCAAAUUGACUUAAAAAUCAACUUUUCUUGCAAUCAAACCCUUUAUAAAUUCAAUUAAACCUUCAAUAAAAUCCAAUUAAGUCCAUAAACAUCCAAUUUUGGACUUUUCACUUCAAAUUAAAUUUUCUUUUCCCACAGGGGUCUCAUCAUUCAAGUAUAUACUGUAAAAAAUUUCAAUCCUUGUAUUUUUUAACCUCCUUAAUCAAUUUUUCUGAUCCUUUCCUGAGCGCUCCAACCUCCUAUUAUUUUUCUAAUUUCUUCCGGCUAUAUAUUUAUAUUUUUAUUUUUAUUUUUGUGUGGGGACCCAAAAAAGGGUUACAACAGAUACCCCCUCUUUAUAAUACUUACGGAGCAGGGGUUUUGCGUGGUAAGUUUUAUAAAGAUAAACAAAACUGAACUUCCAAAACUUAGUCAUCUUGAGAUCCCAAUCUGGCGAUCCUCUGACUUCUAACUUCGAUUAGACUAACUUGGAAUUCCAUCUGAGAUCCCUUCUAGCGACCUCUUUUAACCAAAAAAUCUAUAUUUGUAGCUUGGCCAACCUGAAAUCCCAUCUGGCAAUUUCUUUUAGCCAGAGCUAAUAUCUGUGUUGUGAUUGGGUUAACCUGAGAUCCCUUCUGGCGACCUCCUUUAACCAAAACCAAAAACCUAUAAUUAUAGCUCAAUCAACCUGGAAUCCCAUCUAGCGAUUCCCUUUUACCAAAAGCUGAAAUAUGAGAUCCCUUCUGGCGACCUCCUUUAACCAAAACCGAAAUAUGAGAUCCCUUUUGGCGACCUCCUUUAAGCAAAACCAAAAAACUAUAUUUGUAGCUCGGUCAACCUGGAAUCCCAUCUGGCGAUUCCCUCUAACCAAAGCUAAAAUAUGAGAUCCCUUCUGGCGACCUCCUUUGACCAAAGCUGAAAUAUGAGAUCCCUUCUGGCGACCUCCUUUAACCAAAUCCAAAAUAUGAGAUCCCUUCUGGCGACCUCCUUUAAGCAAAACCAAAAAACUAUAUUUGUAGCUCGAUCAACCUGGAAUCCCAUCUGGCGAUUCCCUCUAACCAAAGCUGAAAUAUGAGAUCCCUUCUGGCGACCUCUUUUAACCAAAGCUGAUAUCAGUAUUGCGGUUGGGUUAACCUGAGAUCCCUUCUGGCGAUCUCCUUUAACCAAAACCAAAAAAUCUAUUUUUGCAGCUCGGUCAACCUGGAAUCCCAUCUGGCGAUUCCCUUUAACCAACGCUGAUAUCGAUGUCGUUCUUCCUGAUGGUAGGGUUUGAACCUUUCAUUUUCUUUUGAAAAUUUCCUAAUAGGUUCUUCUCACUUUAUUGUUGUUCCAAAAUCAAAACCGUGAUUCUUUGUUAUCAUUAACCCAAUGAUUCUUUCUUCAUCCACAAUCUUGUUGGAUUACAUUAAAGAUUCCUCCUGUAACGAUUCAAAAACAUAUAUGCAAUGAUUUAUGAUUAGAUGCCAUGCCUGUAUUCUUACCUGGUUUUGAAACAUAGGUCCCAUCAUCUUCUUCUAUUUCAUGAAACUCUCUCUUGACAUGAGCUUGCUUUUGAAGUCGUAUGCUGGAUUCAUUUUUAGUGCCGCCUAUCAUAUCUUUGAGAAGAAGUUCUUCGACUUUUUACAAGUAGCUUUUUUUUGAAAAUGUAUGAUUUGUCAUUGCCUUCUCUGUCAUGCUCUUGUCAAAUGCUUUAGCUUAAUUUUCAAAUCUAUGGGCUUCUGUCCCGUUUCAAAUACGUAAAACUUUUCGUGAAACAUCACUUAUUGCCCCCAGUGUAGGGGUGUGAUCCUAGUCUGGGCUUUUAUAUAGAGAAAAAAUCCAUUCAGUCAAUGAUAAACUUUUUAGUGAGUGAUGCGAUAACGAAAGGUGAAUUUUGUUUUUCAACGCAUUGUUAGGAUUAAUGCAAAAAAAAAGAUUCUCUAUUCUUAUCUUUUUUUCUCUUCUCUUCCCCUUUUUAAGAUUCACUUAUUGCCCCCAGUGUAGGGUGUGAUCCUAGUCUGGGCUUUUAUAUAGAGAAGAAAUUCAUUCAGCCAAUGAUAAACUUUUUAGUGAGUGAUGCGAUAACGAAAGGUGAUUUUUUUUUUAUUUCAACGCAUUGUUAGGAUUAAUGCAAAAAAAAGAUUCUCUAUUCUUAUCUUUUUUCUCUUCUCUUCCCUUUUUUAAGAUUCUUCUUUCUAGAAAACAAAUUGAGUGUUGUGAGAUCAAUGCAAAAAGAAAGAAGUCGAUGGCCAAACUUUGCUUCAUUGAUUUAGGAGCAUACAUCAAACAUAAUAUCUUUUUACAGAGUCGGAGUUCACAGGCCUAGCUAGGUCUCCUCCAUCCAUUCUAGCCAACUUCAGCGCUCCUCCUGAGUAUGCCUUCCUUACUACGUAAGGACCCUCGUAAUUUGGUGCCUAUUUGCUUUGAUCUUCUCCGGGUAACGACAAUAUUUUCUUCAACACUAGAUCCCCUUCUUGAAACAACCGUGGUCUAACCUUUUUAUCAUAUGCCUUGGCCAUGCGUUUCUGGUAAAGUUGAUGAUGACAUAUUGCAGCUAUCCUCUUUUCGCCGAUCAGGUUCAGUUGUUCAUAUCUCACUUUGGCACACUCAGCCUCUUCUAGUUCGGAAUCCAUCAAUACUCUUAACGAUGGGAUUUCCACUUCCAAUGACAUCACUGCCUCCAUACCGUACACCAAAGAAUAUGGGGUAGUCCCUGUCGAGGUCCUGACUGCAGUGCGAUAUGCAUGGAGAGCAAAUGGCAACAUCUCAUGCCAAUCUCUAUACGUGACGACCAUUUUCUAAAUAAUCUUUUUGAUGUUCUUAUUGGCGGCUUCUACUGCGCCAUUCAUUUUUGGCCGGUAUGGCGAGGAAUUUGAAUGCUUGAUCUUCCACUUGGUACACAACUCCACUAUCAUUUUGCCAUUGAAAUUCUGUGCAUUAUCGGUCACUAUCUUUUCCGGAGGACCAUAUCGACAAAUCAAGUCCUUUUCUACAAACCUCUUCACUACCUUCUGUGUUACGUGGGCAUACGAAUUAGCUUCCACCUAUUUGGUGAAGUGGUCAAUAGCCACGAGGAUGAAUCUAUGCCCAUUGCUAGCUUUUGGGUUAACAGGACCGAUCACAUCAAUUCCCCACAUUGCAAAUGGCCAAGGAGAUAUUAGAUUAAAUAGCAGCGCUGGCGGUGUAUUGACCUUAUCACUGUAAACUUGACACUUGUGACAUUUCCUGACAUAAUCAAUGCAGUCUUUCUCCAACGUCAUCCAAAAAUAACCAGCCCUUUGUAUUUUCCUUGCUAUCAUAUGACUGCUAGCAUGAGUUGAGCAAAUCCCUUCACGGACCUCUCGCAAUGCCUUUCUAGCAUCUGUUUCAUUCAAACACCUUAGCAGGGUUCCGUCAAAUGAUCUUUUGUAUAAAAUCUCUCCAUCUAAAUAGAAGUCUAUGGCCAACCUUCUCAAGGUUUUCUUAUCCGUUUUAGAAGCUCCCACCGAAUAUUCAUGAUUCUGCACAAGAUUCUUGAUAUCGUAAUACCAAGGCUUUCCGUCUAUCUCUCCUUCAACUAAGCAACAGUGAGCUGGGUCGUUUCUAAUGUCAAUGUGUACAGGUUGUACCUUAUAUUUGAGAUCAAUGGUAGUUAUAGCAGCUAGCGUGGCCAAAGCAUCCGCAAAAUGGUUUCCCUCCCUUCCUAGAUGGGUGAAUUUAAUCUCUUCAAAUUCCUUUGCUAGUGUGGAUAAGUAUUCCUGGUACGGCCUUAACUUUUCUUCCUUGGUCUGCCAUUCCCCUUUAACCUGACAGAUAAUCAACAUUGAAUCCCCAUAUACAUUUAUCUUCUUUAUCUUUAGCUCUAAUGCCGCUUCUAAACCAAGGAUACAAGUUUCAUACUCAGCUGUAUUGUUGGUGCACUCGAAAUGCAGUUUAACCGAAACUGGAUACUGUUUCUUAUUAGGAGAGAUUAUUACUGCACCAUUCCCGUUACCAUAUACAUUCACGGCCCCAUUAAAAAACAUGGUCCACCAAUCUGUCUUCUCUUCUUCUUUUUCUAUUGACAAUAUAUCUUCAUCGGGGAAAUCAAAAUCCAAAGGUUCGUAAUCUUCUACAGCAUUAUCAGUUAGAAGGUCCAUAAUUGCACUCCCUUUUACGGCUUUCCUUGUCAUAUACACUAUGUCAUAUUCUGCUAAUAAAACCUGCCACCUUGCAAUUCAGCUUGAGAGAAAGCGCUUGUUACAAAUAUACCUUAGAGGAUCCACUUUUGAAAUCAACCAAGUGGUAUAGUAUAACAUAUAAUGUCGUAAUCUCUUUGCCGCCCAAACCAGUGCACAACAGAGCCUUUCUAUCUCGGUGUAUCUAACUCACAUUCGGUGAGUUUCUUACUUAAGUAAUAAAUAGCUCUUUCCUUCCUUCCGGUUUCAUCAUGCUGACCCAAUACACAUCCCAUGGUUGCUUCAGUUACUGUUAAAUAUAAUACCAGAGGUUUUCCUGAUACCGGAGGAACCAGUAAAGGUGGAUUUUGUAAAUAAUGUUUGAUUUUAUUGAAUGCAUCCUCACACUCCUCAUUCCAGGUUCCAGGAUUCUUUUUCCUUAAUAGUCGGAAUAUAGGUUCACAUGUUGUUGUUAGUUGAGCUAUAAACCGAGCAAUGUAAUUUAACCUUCCCAAGAAUCCUCUUACUUCUUUCUCCGUCUUAGGGGUUGACAUAGCUUGAAUGGCCCUUAUUUUAUCUGGAUCCACCUCUAUACCUCUAUCACUUACCAUAAAUCCUAACAGCUUACCUGAUUUAACUCCGAAUGAACAUUUUGCAGGAUUGAGCCUUAAUUCAUACUUCCUCAACCUCUCAAAUAACUUCCUCAAAACUUCAAUAUGAUCCUCUCCCUUUUUAGACUUGGCAAUCAUGUCAUCUACAUGCACCUCAAUUUCCUUGUGCAUCAUGUCGUGGAACAGAGUCAUCAUUGCUCUUUGAUAGGUUGCUCCUGCAUUCUUCAAUCCAAAUGGCAUGACCUUGUAGCAGUAUGUCCCCCAAGGUGUGACAAAAGUUGUUUUUGCCUUAUCCUCUGGAGCCAUUUUUAUCUAGUUGUAUCCUGAAAAACCAUCCAUAAAGGAAUAUGUGGAACUUCGGGCAGCGUUGUCCACUAAAACAUCUAUGUGUGGUAGAGGAAAAUCAUCCUUAGGGCUAGCUUUAUUCAAAUUCCGAAAAUCCACGCAAACUCUAAUCUUCCCCUCCUUCUUAGGCACCACAACAAUGUUAGAUACCUAUUGUGGAUAUCUAACUACUUCUAGAAAGCCAGCAUCCCAUUGCUUCUCGAGUUCUGCCUUAACCUUGAUCCAGAUAUCCGGUUGGGCCCUCCUCAGCUUCUGUUUGACUGGUUUACAGCCUUCUUCCAAUGGUAUCUUGUGUACUACAAUAUUUGUAUCCAAACCGGGUAUAUCUUCAUAGGACCAAGCAAAGACAUCUGAAUAUUCUUGUAAUAGGGCGAUCAUUUUUGUCCUUUGUUCAGAAGUAAUUAAGGUACCUAUUUUCAACUCUUUCUUGAGCUGAUCACUGCCCACAUUGAUGGUUUCGAGUUCCUCUGCGGCGGGCUUCCAAGUCUGUUCCCGCUGUUCCACUAGCCUGGUGAAUUCACUGAUAUUGCUUUCAUCCCAUUCUUCUUCUUCCAUAGCUAUCACAUGUUUGUUCAAGUUUGGCCAUUUAUUCUUGAUGCUAAAUGUAUGUGAUGUUGUAGGAGAUCCGCUUUCAGGAUUCCUGAAAGCGGGAAGUGUUUGGUGUAAAUGCAUAAAAAGACAAUUUUGAAAAGUGCAUGAUCUCAUCAUUUAUUUAAAGAAAAGAUGGGUUCAAUGACAAACACAAAAUCUAGCUGACAUCAUGAGCCUUGAUUGUCAACUAGAGAAAAUAAAAGCAAACAAAAGCAAUGACAAAAGCAUGUUAAGGCAAACAAAGUUGGUUUACAUUUUGAAAACUACUGGCGCUUCUUGGGUCACCCAGUUCUGAAACUUCUCGCCCUGAGCCAACUUGCACAUGAAGGUCUUGGCGGAGGCUUCUUCUAGUGUGUGGAUUGUUAGUUGUGGCAGUGCUUCAUCUCCCUUUCCCGCUACUGUCUUCAUGUCAUCUCCUUCCACCUCAUUUUCCUCCAAGGUGUUUAUGCUCAUAUUUGCCAGUUCUUGACCAAGGCUUUCGGCUCCUUUAUCAUGUUGCAUUAUGUAUGCAGCUUUUGGGAAUGACACGCUAAGGGGAGGGAUUUCUAGCUUUUCUUCUUCAGGCUCCCUUCCUUCAAUUCUAGCUAUUCUUCUUUCCCUUCUCCGACCAGCAGCCUACCGAUGAUCCUCCUUGUUAGGUUUAUACCCUAGCCCAAAUCUUUGAUCGGCACAUGUCAUCUUUGCCGGAUUAACCCCUUCUGGUACCCCGACGAUAGGGUUAUACUGAAAUGGGAUCUCGCGUUCCAAGAAGCAUUGAGUUGCCAUCCUUGCUGCUUCUGAGAUCCUUGGCCUUCUCAACACUGUGUUCUCCUGCACCCAGUCAGUGUUCACAAUCUCAAAAGCAUGGAUAUUGUUAUCCUUGCAAUCAUCUGCCUCGAUAAAAGGUACAACCACAUUCUUUAUCAUGGAUACUGUCUCCUCAGCUUUGACAGUUACCAAUAUCCCAUUCAUGAUAUACUUCAGGCAUUGGUGCAAUGAUGAAGCUACGGCCCCCGCUGCAUGAAUCCAAGGUCUUCCUAACAACAUACUAUAGGAAGGGUGAAUAUCCAUAACUUGAAGUGUCACUAGGAACAUUUGUGGUCCCAUAUAUAGCUCCACUUCUAAAGUCCCAAUUAUUGGCCUAGGUGAGCCAUCAUAUGCUCUAGCCAUCAUAGUACUCGGCUUCAUAUGAGAUUCAUCGAUCGGCAUUUCUUUUAGAAUGUGCUUUGGCAACACGUUAAGAGCCGAGCCAUUAUCGACGAGCACUUUUCCUAUUAUGCAAUCCUUGCACCUAACCGUAAUGUAUAAGGGCUUAUUAUGUCCGGUACCUUCAGCAUCAAGCUCGUCAGCCGUGAAGUACAGGUAAUUAGUUGCGUGGAUCCUCUCCAUGAGAUGCUCCAUGGUUUUAUGUUCAAUGUCUUGGGGUACAUACGCCUCAUUCAAUACCUUUUGCAAGGCGUUUCUGUGCGGCUCAGAGCUGAGUAUCAAGGACAUAAGAGAGAUCCUAGCUGGAGUCUUUUUUAGUUGAUCUACUAUGCAAUAUUCGAUAUGCUUGAUCAACUUUAAAAAUUCAUUCGACUCCUCUUCCGUUACCGGCUUAUUAACUUCUAGUACUUUGUCAAGACCUACCACUUUUUUGCCCUUUGCCUUCCUCAACUCCUCGAGCGUAAAGCACCGACCACUCCGGGCCAAACCACUUAUCUCAGUUUGGAACAAAGGAAGAGGAGCUCGAAGGUUGGAGGCCCAACCAUAAUUAUAAGGCAUGGCAUUGUGAUUUCCUUUUGUGCAGAAAGGUUUAACCAAGAUUAACUUUGGCGGCCCAUUAGCUGUUGGUUGGACCCUACAUACUCCUGUCAUCUUAUCUUGACCUUCCAUCAUACUCACCUCACCACUGCCCUCCAUGGGUUCAAUCCUCAAUUCCCCCAUUUUCAGCAUUUUUGCAAUCUUUUCACAAAACUCGAUGCAAUCCUCAAUAUGAUGUCCAUCUCUUCCAUGUAACUCACAAUAAUCAUAUCCCUCCAAAUGGCUUUCAACAUUUGUCUCCAGAAAUCCUGAUUGUACCAACAUGUCGUACAACUUCUUCAUGGACACCUUCAACGCCUUGCACUGAUUUCCAGCUUCUAUCAUGCCAACUCUACUACUACCUGUGACAUGUUUAGGUAAUGGGUUUGAAUUAACAUUGGGCUUGUCUUCAAAGGAUACUCAUCCUAUCUUAAUAAGCUCCAACAACCUCUUCUUGAAAGCGUAGCAGGUUUCAAUCCCAUGCCCGGGAUUACCAGCAUGGUACUCGCAAGUCAACUCGGGCUUGUACCAAAUUGGGAAUGGUGGUUGCAAUGGUAGUGCAGGGAUAAGAGCUAUGUGUCCAAUACUUAACAGUUUGGCAUACAUGUCCUUCAAAGGCAUGGGUAACGGCGGCAGUUGUUCUGAAGUGUAUCUUGUAUUUGGUCUUUGGUCUUUGAUGGUGGUUUUGGUUAUUUGACUGGUUAUUUGUUCGAUUGGGGGGAAAAGGUUGGCUAAUGUUCAUGUGGGAGAAUUGGGAGGUAGGUACUUGUAGAUUAUAAGAAUCUACUCUCUUACCUUUGUAUCCACCUUCUAAGCUGUUAAUAUCACCUUCCCUCUAUCUUCCAAUAAAACCCUUCUUCUCCAACAGCUCAGCUAUACACCCAGCUUUAAUCCCUGAAGGUAUUGGCAUCGCAUCGUAGAAAUGCUGAGAGGAGCUACCCAUUAAAUGCUCAUAAUAAGGUGCCUUGAAGGUAUUGGCAAACAAGGUCACCAUCUCUGUUUCUAUCAAAGGGGGUUGGACAUGCAUUGCCUCAUCCCUCCACCUUUGCGCAUAGGCCCUUACCGACUCUUGGCUCCUUUUCUCCAUUGACAUUAGGCUUGUUCGAUCAGGAGCGAUUUCCAGGUUAAACUUGUACUGCUUAAGGAACGCCUCCACCAAGUCUCUCCAGCUCCUGAUCCUAACACUAUCUAACCUCAUGUACCAGCUCAAAGCGGAUCCUGCGAGGCUAUCUUGAAAGAAAUAGAUUAGCAAUUUAUCAUCGCGGAUUACUUCAGCCAUUUUAUUGCAGUAGGAUCGAAGGUGAGUGUUUUGGGCAUUCCAAACCAGUGUACUUAAUGAACUCUGGUAUCCUAAAAUCUUUUGGCACCACGAUGUUUGGUACCAAACAUACUUCAGCUGCUCAUAUAGGGUCAAACCAGUCAUUACCCUCAACUGCCCUUAAUCUUUCUUCGAAAGCAAACAACUUGUCUUGAUCCAUCAAACUGGGAAACCUAUUAUCCGGGAUUCCCUCCGUUGUUAAGUCCACAGUGAUUGGAGCAUGAGUUGGCUGGAUAGGGGUGAUAGGCACAAAAUGUUGUUCAUUGGUCGAGUUUGCCCCCUGGUUUUGAGAUGCUUGAGGGAUGUGAGCUGCUGGCGCUCCUUAAGGUUGUUGUGCUGAUGUUCCCUUCCCAUUCUUAGCUCUUAGAAGUUGCUCGAGUAGGUCGGUUAGUCGAGAAACUUCAUUUUUUAUGGAUUCCAACUCAGUCUGAUAAUGUGACUCUAAGUGAGCUCUUUCUUCGUUCUCCAUCCGCGAUCUGGACCGGGUAUGGUGGACUUUGGAUGUGGGACCUAUAUUUCAUGAUCUGAAGCAUAUGAUAAAUUAAAAACAAAAUGCAUGAUGAAAAUAUGGUGCACAUGAUGUGAAAAAAAAAUUUAGAGCUGACUCAUGACUUUUGUAAUCCUUUAGGCAAGAUUUCCGAGUCGACCUGAUUACUGUAAAGGAGGGUUUGCCAAGUUCUUAUCAUAGUAGCUUACCAAAACACAUUAGAAAGAAAAAUAAGUCAUGGCCUUCUUAUAAAUAGAAGUCGCUCUUACAAAAUGAUAACAGAAAAGGGCUUUAUACAUCGCUACCCUUAAAAGGCAUUUCCUCUAUUAGCUAAGUCCCCAAUAAAAGAGGUGAUGGCCCUCAUGUAUUCUUGAUACUUUAAAGCAUCAUUUCCAACUUGGGUGGCUUGUUGUUGCAACCUUUCUGCAUAGUGGGCUGCUUGCUCGACCUGCUUUGUCAUAUGCCUUAUCUUAUCAUGGAACACGGUAUUAUCUGUGAUUAUCACUUCGUUGCUGGUUCCUAAGGCUUCAUUACUUCUUUCCAACACUCGAACCAUAUCCUCCGAACGUGCCAACUUAUCCCUUACCCUUUGCAGUUCUUCCUUUUCUAUAUCCAGCUCGGUUAUUUUGGAGUUAAUUUGAACUGCAAAGUUGUCCAUGUAGUCUUGACAUUCUUGAUGUUCUUGCUUAGCCUUACUCAGCUCCUCUUCCAUCUCGAAGUAAUGGCUUCUCAACUCCCUCAACUCUUUUUCUCGUAUCUCGAUCUCAAAUUGUAAAGCCAUCAUCCUUCCUUUCGAAGACUCAGCUCUCUUCUGGUAAUCUCUCAUAUCAGCCUCAGCGGCCUUUCUUGCACUUCUCUCUUCCUCAAGUUGCACCAUAUAUUGAGCUCUGAUCCUUCUUUCCUCUUCUAUGUCGAGCUGGGCUAGCCGAUUCUUCUCUUUUUCAACUUCUACUUUCUUUAAAAGAAUGCUCUUUCCCUUCUUCAAGGAAUCCAUCACCUCUUUGUCAACAUUCAUCUUGCCUUUUGUUGAUCUCUUAACCUUUGCCAACUCUUUUUCUGUAAGCCCAUUCUUCUUAACCAGCUCAUCAUAUUCGGUCAUUCGAUUCCUUAACUCAGCCUGGACCCCUUUUGCUAUUUCUUCAGCUACCUCGGCCCUUUUCUGCCAUUCCUUUAAAGACGUUAACUACUUAUCCUGUUUUUCCAACCGCUGGUUCAAGUAAACCCUCAUCGUAUUUUCUUCCUCUAACUGACUUUCUAAUAGUUGUUGCUGCCCUUUACUUUUGUUGAGAUCAAUUAUACAUCGUUCUAGCUGCUUUCUUAACUCUUCUUCAUUAUCAGUCCUUUUUCUUUUUGGUUGCUCUAUCGCUGAUUGUGGAUAUUUUUGUGUUGAGAAAUCCCUCACUUCAGAAAGCGCUUCAUUCCUCCAAACUGCAUAAUUCUAGCUGAAUGAUGUUUCAAAAUUGCUCCAUUCUUCCCUUUUUACCAUCAGGGGUCUUUCCCAAUCUUGUCGGAUAAGCUCCAUCUCUUCAAGGAAUGGUUGGUACUUGAAUAAACCGACAAAAUCAGCUAAACCCAGAGUUCUUGGUGCAUACUGCAUUCCACCCAACUGCCUUGUUACAAGGGCGGGCGCGUAACUGAUGUACCCGGUUACACCAAUCAAGGGAACCCAUAUCUUGCUUCCACAACUCAUUGUGCAGAUGGCAUUAUUCAUCCAUGGUGCUUUCCAUUUGAAGUUGCUCCUUGGCAAUACUGCAUAUUUAUCUAUCCAUGCUUUCUCAUCCUAGUUCUUCCAAGUCUCAUCCAUGGUAACCUUUAACGGUCGCAGGUCAAACCACCAAAAGUUGUUAAAGAUGUCCCUUGGUGUUUCGAUAUGACUGAUAAUCCAUAAAUACAAAAUAGGGAUGCAACAUCUCAUGGCUCCUUUUCCAUGCGUUCUGCAGUGGUUGAGUGAUAACAUGGUUUCUUCUAAAACGGCUGACGAGGGAUUGAUCCGGUCACGCUCGUAUUCUAUGAAGACACUUGCUGCUUCUAAACUGAUGACUCCGAUUUCGGAAGGGAACAAUACCAGUCCAAAAAUGGCGAAGGCCACCAACCUAUAUCGUUCAUCUCCCAACUUGACUUCUUCAGAAUUUUUCUUCAUUCGGGCUUCAAUGACCUUCCAUUUAAAACCCCCAUCGGCGACUCUACAUUGGCUGAUCUUUCCCAGGCCUAAUAAACUGACUACCUCCGAAGCUGUGUCUUCAAAUCUUCGCCUGAGGUAGAUCCUGUGGUUGUUGUUUGGAAAAUCUAGAAUCCUUUCAUAUUCCUCCAAAUUCGGUGUCAUAUCGAUGUUCCCAAAGGUAAAACACCGAUAACUAGGAUCCCAAAAAUUCAAUAGGGCUUUGAUUGCUGCUGCUUGUACAGGUAACCUCAUUAGUUGUGCAAUUCUCCCAUAUCGCCUUUCAAAAAUAGUCUCAUCAAUAUACUCCAUAAUAGACAAUAACUUCCCCAAGUCAUUUACCAUGUGAUUUAUCUUGGUAAUGCAAGGCAACCUACUAGCAUCGAUUCUUGGACAUUUUUCUUCAGCUACCUGAGUCAACUCAGAUUCUUGCCCAAACUCUUGGAAAGAUAGGUACUUAGUCAUGAUUUCAGCUUAAAAACCUGGAUUGAUGAAUUUAACAUUAUUAAUCAUGAUGCAAAUGAACGUAAGAUACAUAUCCUAAGGACAAGCUCUAUUUAUUAUGUGAGAAUGGGCAAUUUUUUUAUCUGGUCUUGAAGGGGUCUCAUAUCUGCCCAGUGACGUUCUUCGUAAAGACAGUAUGGGGGCGUUGCAAGGAACAGUUAAGGCACGUAUGCCCACCAUUACCAAGCAGGCACUCAGAUAUGAGUUGGGUGUUUCACGCAUCUGAACCCUGACCAAUAGUCAUAGGGCAAAUCGCUAAUCCCCCACCUAACUUAAAGCUUGUGUGUGCUUCUCAAAAUCAAAGUAUGUGAUGCAUGAGACAGUUCUAUACAAUGCAUGAACAGUAGGUGUAAAAAAUUAAAAGCAUAUACGCAAAUAACAAAAGGAAAAACAUAUUAACAAUAACCACACGAAAACACAAACAAAUCAACUUUUUGCGCCUUUUCCAAUUGAUCAAUAAACUUUCAAUUUCUUCAAUUUGGCCCCUGAUUUUGUUAAUUACAGCCCCUAUAUUUACGUGUCUUUUCCAAUUUGGUCCUUGGUUUCGGAUUUCCUCAAUUAAGUCCCUAAUUGGCCAUUAAACUUCAAUAUUUAUACAAUUAAGCCCCUGAUUUGACCAAAUCAACUCUUAGAAAUUAUAAUUUGACCCCAGAACUUUAAUUUCUUCCAAUUAAAGCUCAAAUUGACUUAAAAAUCAACUUUUCUUGCAAUCAAACCCUUUAUAAAUUCAAUUAAACCUUCAAUAAAAUCCAAUUAAGUCCAUAAACAUCCAAUUUUGGACUUUUCUCUUCAAAUUAAAUUUUCUUUUCCCACAGGGGUCUCAUCAUUCAAGUAUAUACUGUAAAAAAUUUCAAUCCUUGUAUUUUUGAACCUCCUUAAUCAAUUUUCUGAUCCUUUCCUGAGCGCUCCAACCUCCUAUUAUUUUUCUAAUUUCUUCCGGCUAUAUAUUUUUAUUUUUAUUUUUAUUUUUGUGUAGGGACCAAAAAAUGGGUUACAACAUGGUGAAACUGGUCGUUGCAUAUGCCAUGAUUCUAUUCUAAAUCCCUCAUAACUUAAUGGGCCCAAAGACGACAUUUAAUCUUAUAGAUGCAUUAACACUUUUUUUUUUAUUGACACAAAUGAUUCUUGAUUUAUUUAAUUAAAUGCAUGUUUAUGCUUUUUUAUUUAUUUAUGAUUAAGAUUUUUUUAUUCAAAAGAAACGUUGAAAAAGUAUGCUUAUUUUUUUUCAAAAAAAAAUUAUUUAAUCCACAGUGAAGCGCGAGUCAAAUAGCUAGUUUAGCCUAUUUGGUGAAACUGGUCGGUGCAUAUGCCAUGAUUCUAUUCUGAAUCCCUCACAACUUAAUGGGCUUAAAGAUGAUAUUUACUAGUAUAGACAACAACUUAAUUCAAACUCAAAAAAUAUCGACCUGACCUAACUUGACCUGAAUUAGUGGGUAUUAUUUGGAUAGUUACCUUAUCCUAAUAUAUACUGGAUAGAGUAUGUGUAUUAUCAAAUCCAAUCUGAAACUUGCCUAAGCCCAAGUCGAGAUAUAUAUUUAUAUUAUUUAGAUAUAUUUAUAGAACAUUUAAAUAUUUUUAAUACAACAUGAUAUAUACAUAUCGCAAUAUUGAUAUAAAACACACACACAUGUAUAAUAUUUAUAAUUUUAGUAUAUACAUACAUACAUAUACAUACAUAUAUAUAAUGAGAAUAAAUAUAUUGAAUUUUAUAAUUUUGUUAAUAUUUAAUGAGAAUAAACAUAUUUUAUUAAACAUGUCAUACCGUAUAAAUCACUAAUAACUAUACAUUUAUUAUUUUCUAAAAAAACCUCAUUUCACAAGUAAAUUUAGUAUUUUAUUUGGUUUGAAAAUUUAGUAAGGUUAGUCUUUAUCAUCAACAUUAUAUUAAUAAUUAUAGAAUACAAUUUUAACAUAAUUUCAAUGAUUUUUAUAAUUUAAAGACUUAAAAAUUCCUUAUGAUUAUUUUAAUGUUUUUUAUAAGAAAAAAUAAUAAUUUAAGAACUUAAAUAUAAAGUUUGUCUAUCACAAAAAAAAAACUAAAACAAAAUGUAAAGAAAUAAAAAAAAAAGUCAAGCGAGCCUAGCAUGCACACUUAGGCCAAGCGUUUUAGGCCCAUUUGUAAGAAGAUUGAAGUAAAUGACGCGUUGUUUAAACCAUCUUCUUUUUCGAUGACUAGAAUCUAAAAAUUCUGUUUUAUCCCCCACGCCUAUUUUUUACAGCUUUUGUUUUUAAUAAAAAUACCUAAUAUAUAUAUAUAUAUAUAUAUAUAUAUAUAUAUAUAUAUAUAUAUAUAUAGAGAGAGAGAGAGAGAGAGAGAGAGUAACAAACACAAAGCAUAUUAAUUUUGCAGAAAUGUAAAUAUAUAGUAGGAUAAUGAGAUCUAAAGUAAAGAAUCUUACUUAAAUUUGUAUAGAAAUCAAUACAUGAGAUAUUGGUUAGAGGAGUAUGUUUACAAAGAAUUUUCUUCAGUGUAUUUUGCUCUGCCUUUUGAAGCUUAUGAGGUCUUCUUUUACAGUGGAGCUGUCAUGAAAGAGGCCAAAAGACUUUUUGAAAGGCUGAAGAUUCUUUUUGGCGCUUUUUAGUUGGCUAUAUGUUCUUGUUCCCUAUGGUUAAGAGACGACAAUCAUGGAAAUUUCCUUUAAAUUUUAUAGGGUUUUUCUUUAUUGUCUUCUUAUUCACCGAUAGUUGAUUUGUUGUUUAGUAGCAUCAUGAGAUUUUGUAGAAAAAGACCUAAAACAAUGGGCCUGAAAAAAGAGUUUGAAAAUGAAAAGACUGAGCCUAGAAGAAGGGCUCAAAACAAGAGAGCCUAAAAGAUCUUGAAAAUACUUUUUUUUUUAUGGAUUUUGUAAAGAUUGUAGGAUGCCAUAGCAAUUAUCUUCAUUUUCAUUACUGAGAGAAGUAUAUGAUCCUGAGGAUGAGGAGGCUGAAGAAGAGGAAAACAUAAAUUCUCCUUUUCCACUAUUUAGGAGUUGUUUCAUGACCUCAAAACAUUCUUCUUUGGACUUGGCAGUUGCCAAAAGUGCUGAGGCAUGGGCUUUUUGGGCGAGGAAAAGGGAUUGAGACUGGUCUUGUAGAGUUGGUGGUUUUUUAAUGCCAUGUCUAUUGUUUGAAGAAAACUAUAACAUUACAGUAGAUUCAAAGCAUUUAUUUUUUGCCUCAAAAGAGCCCUACCAUUUGACUUUGUAUUUUCUUAUCAAAAUUACAUGAGUAUUUUAGUCGUUAUAGUCAAAGUACCACGAGCAUACCUAAGACACAAAGAAUUUGGAACAAAACAUAAGCAUUGGGGGAAAUUUCUUUUCUUUCUUGGUACCUUUGAAAUUCUAUUUGAAACGUUUGUAGCCCUUUUCAACCAUAGGGUGUGGGUGAAGGAGUUCAGUAAUACAACCAAGGUAAUCCUACCAUUAACGGAACCAAUUUGGUAGUUUUGUAGUAUUAAUAGAGUUAUCAAAAUAAAAUAAUCAAGAAUGGCUUUCUUUGGAGUUUUGGAGAAAGAAAGCAUUAAAUCAUGCCUAUUGGUGGUCUCGAUAGGAAUAAGUUUGGCAAUGGUUAUUUAAUUUGGUAUGGAAGUUGAUAGGAAACGGAUCCCAUGAUGAAGAAGUUGUUUCCAAUCAGUUGGAUGGAGGACAUCUUUAAUGAUACCGGUGGAAUAGGCUGAUUCAAUAUAAUAUUGUUUGAGGUUAAAAUGUUUAAAUUUUAAAAAACCUGUAAUUUCAAGGAUGACCAUAUAGAAAGCAUAGGUUUUUGUAGUUGUUUCCAAUUAGUUUUGAAGAUGUUUUUAUGAAAUUGGUUUGAGAUAAUGAAAAAUUUAUAGAUUGAAGGAGAGGUUUUUGAGAAGAAGAUUGCUUGGGUUUUGAAAUUAGUGUAGAAGUUUUACCUCAUUGAGAGGAUUCAUCCUUUUGAGAGGACUUCUAGCUGAAAUUUUGUAAGGUUAGAAGUAAUUCUAGAGAUUUGGAUAGAGUUUCUACCAAAUUUUAUACUUUAUCACUUUGGAUUGCUGAAGGAUUUGUUACUUUCUCUUCAACAAUAACUGCAUCGUACCAAGAAGUUAUUGGUUUUGCAUAAGAUAUAGUAGAAGCCACAAGUUUUUGGAGUGCUUUGGGUUUUUUGUGGUUUUGUAGGUGCUGACCGAGGGGUUUUGCCCUUAUAUUUGGAUUAGGGAGGCAACAGGACCUGUUUUGGAGAAAUUUGUGAGUUAGAAAAUCAGGAAUGAAAUUUGUAUCGCCUUUUAUAUACUCAAUAUCAAAAUAAAAAAUACUUAAUAUAGCUUGCUAUCUAGCAAAAAUCUAUUUUGAAGCAAUAUUUUGAACAUCUUUUUGUAAAACUUCUUUAGAAGAUUUGUAAUCAAUACGUAAUAGGAAUUGUUUGUUUAAUAAGUCGCUUUGAAAUUUUAUAAUACAUAGAACAAUUGAAAGAAUUCUUUUCUUGAUAGUAGAGUAAUUCUUUUGACAAUCAUUCCAAUGAACAGAUGUAAAUUGAAGAAUUUAUUGUUUGGAAUUUUGAACUUGUUUGAGAAUUCCCCUAUACUCUAAUUCUGACUCAUCUAUUUCUACAAUCUUAGAAGCUAAGGGAUUGGCUAGAUGAAGACAAAGGAUUUCUUGCACUUGUUUUUUAAUCUGACGAAUAAGAGCAGUAUGUGCAUCGGAUUAUGGUACUGAGUUUUUUUUUUUAUCAUCUAUUAUGAAGGGGUUUUGCAACUCUACUAAUAUUAGGAUAAAGUCUAAAACAUAAUUUAGACUUCUCAGGAACCUUUGUAACUGAGGUUUAUCAAGGAUUUUAUCAGGGAAUUUGUUAGCAAAGGUAAGGGGUCUUUUAAUGGGUGUGAUGAUACCUUGGGAGAUAUAAUGACCGAAAAAACAAAAACGAGUUUGAAACAGAGAAAUCUUUGAUUUGGAGACAACUAAAUCAUUUUGUUUUGUAACAUGAAAGAAUGUUUGUAGGUGUUUAAAAUGUUACUCUAAUGAGUUUGAAAAUAUAUGAACAUCAUCAAUAUAAACUAUAUAAAAUAUGGAGUAUGCAUUAAAUUUGUCAUUUAUUAUCCUUUGGAAUUUAGAUGGUGCAUUUUUUAAACCAAAUGGCAUAACAUUCCAUUUAUACUGACCAAAAAGAAUUGUGAAUGCAAUUUUGUAACAGGCUUUAGGAUGAAUUUGAAUUUGCCAAAACCCUGAUUUCAUAUCAAACUUAGAAAAUAUAAAAGCAAAAUGCAAUUUUUGUAAUAAAUCUUUCUUAUUUGGAAUUGGAUAUCUAAUCCACUUUAAAGCUCUAUUUAUUAGUUUGUAAUUGAUCACAAGUCUAGGUGUGCCGUUUUCUAUUUUAGAAUUUUUGUUGACAUAAAAUGCAGCAGAAGACCAAGGUGAUCUGGACUUUAUAUCAGACCUUUAGACUCCAAAUCUUGAAUUUUGAGUCUACAGUGUUGUUCUAAUUCAGCAUUCAUUUGGAAAGGUCUUGCUUUUAUAGGUAUUAUAUUUUCAGAAAAGUUAUCUUCAUAGGGAACAUCAACAACAUGUUGUUUUCUUUUUCAAAAAGCAUUUGGCAGAUCAAAACAAAUUUCAUGUUUGAUCUUGUUUCGGAAAUCUGAAAUUCUUUUUUGUAAAACAAAAUUAUGUAAUUGUUGUUCAAUUCUUUGUAAAAAACAUCUUUUUUCAAAUGAUGUAAAUGAAAUUGUUUUUCAUGGAUCAAUGUAUUGAUCUGAUAUUUAUGUAUAGAACAUGCUUUGAUUAGAUUCAGAUUUCUAGUUUUUUAUUUUUCUAGGAUAGGGAAAACAAGUUUCACACCAUUAAUUUUUGAAGUAAUGCAGUCAUGUAUGGCUUUGUAAGGGGUAAUUAUGUCUAUGAAUAGAGUUCCAAGAAUGAUGGUAUGAUUGAUGUCAUUUGUAACAACAACAAAAAAACUUAAGAUAAAAACCAUUGUUGAGAAUGGAUGCUUGAGUUUUUCCUAAAAGAUGAAGUUUGAGAUUGUUUGUUGUAGAAAGUCUUUCAAAAGUAUUUUGAAGAAAUUAUUUAGGAACUACUUCUUUUUUGAUACAAUUUAAAUCAACACAUAUAUCAAACAAGACAAUAGUUUCUAACUUGUAGUCUUCUGAAAAAACUAAAGUAUUUUUUAUUAAAUAUUGUUUUUGAAGUAAUUUGUGUUAAAACAUUUAAAUAGUCUUCAGGAAUAUGUUCGAUGUUUGAUAAUGCAUGAUCUACUGCAUGAGUCUCAAGAGUUUAUUCUUUAGAUUCUGGUUCAGAAUCUGACUGGCUUUCUAACUUGGUCAGGAGGUAUUGUAAUAUGAGUGAGUCUUUUUGUUGGGCUUAUGUAAGGGUUUGUAACUCAGAUUUAAGGGUCUUAAUUUCUGACUGUAACUCUAGGAUAAUAGCUAUAGGUUUGGAUUUAUUUUUCUUGUGGAGAAUUUUUGUAAGAUCAUAAGUGUUGGCACUGCUUGUAAAUAAGAUGGAAUAGUUUUUGAUAAGUUGGGAUGUCUCAAGUUUCUUAAAAUUAUUCAAUAACUUAUCUAAAUAUGAUUUUUGUAAUCAGACCAAUCUUUUGAUGAUUCAAAUUAAUGUCAUCAUUUACAGUGAAAGACCUUUCUAUUUUAAUUUUAGUUUUUUUAAUUAAUUAUUUACACUGAAAUGAGAAAAAUUACCUUUAUGUCCAACGAUGUCAUUUUGAGGUUUGAUAAACAAUGUGCAACAGUGAUUAUGAACGAAAAAUGCAAUUUUUGUUUGUUAAUUGUUGAUGAUACAGCUCAAUAAACAAUAAGAAAUGAAUAUUAAUUUCGUGAUUACGAAUCUGAAUUGAAAAAAACUGUCCUUUUACUUUCUCUGGUCACUUAAUCAAAUUCAAUUAGAAGGAGAGAGAAGCCAGUUUAGUAUUGAAUCAUCAUACUCAAGAGGCAACAUUAAUUCAAAUAUGCUUAAAAUUUGAUUUCAAUAAUUGAAUGAAAGAAUGAUUAAAUCAAAGAAUAAUCUCUCUUACAGCUCCACGUUUACUCUCAUACAUACACUAAUGCUAUCCCUUCUCAAAUUAAAGUGGAACAAGUUGAAGUUGAAGGGUCAAAUAAAGCUGGAAGCACGUAUUUCCUUCCAUUAACACCAUGAGCAUUAUAGCUAGCACCAGUUGUAGAGUCCACUAACAAAUCCCCAGCAUAACCAGGAUACGCACCCUUACCAUAGACCCCAGGACAAGCAGAUGCGGCCUCAAGAGGAGCCUCCUUUGGACCCUGGAAAUAGCCAUUUUCAAAUGGGUUUGUUGCAGUCCCAGCCAAAAGACUAGCCAGAUUGAUUACCAUACCAUCAAGACCCACAUCAUUGUUGGGUGCAACCAAUGGAGGGUUCUGUGGUCCAUAGAUUGGCUGGUGGAAUGGCCACGCACAUUGACCGGGGCAUUGAGUCUCAGAGUUACCAACCCAAAUGUAAGCAAAUUUCGAUCUCUUACCAUUGAUUUUUUUAGCACUCAAAGAGGACCCAUGAGUGCCACAUUUACUAGAGCAAAACCCUUCAACAGCAACAUCAGAUGAUGUCAAAACAACGUUGAUUGCACCCUUUUGACCACCCUUUGAUGCUAGCUGCACGAUUUGCUUGCUGGAGAGCGAUUUCCCCAAUGAAUACCUCUCGUCUAAAAUCUGUGCUCCUACAGAGAGGAGAAGAGGAGAGGUUUUCUUCGUCUUGACAAGGUUGUAAUAUUUCUCAGUAGCUUUCCACCACGUGGCAACAGAGGGUUGGGCUGUUGUGGGUCUUCUAGAAGAGACAGAGGCAAUAAAAUCUGAGACAAUAGCACGCUGAGAUGGCUUAAACUUGCCAUACCAGAUCAAGUUGAUCGAAA